rnacentral:sRNA from 1 species
CAGUCGACCUCGCGUUGCUGCCUGACCCCCGACCUGGCGGCAACGCGAGGUCUUUC